GAAGAAAGUAAUAGUUUCCUUUCCUUAGCUGAGAGAAUUAAUCCUUGAGAAGUUGUGAUGAUGCUGAUUCAUGUACCACCUAAGGAUGAGAGGCACAAAUGCUGCCAGAAGUUUCUACUGCCCAGUGGGGCAGCUGCCCCUGCACAAGAGGAGUACCAUUGCAACUCCCCACUUCUUCUAUUCCCCAUCACCACUGUGGUUGGAUGCUGAUAAGCAGGGUCCCCAUGUGCUGCCUGGACACUCUGAAAACACCUCUGCAGAACAGAAAUGACAGGGAGAACUUCAGAGGAAGGCAAGGAACUUGAGCAGUGGAUCCCUAAUAGGCAAUAAUCUGCAAUACCGGGUACUCCUAAU
rnacentral:lncRNA from 1 species